UCCUCCUCACUUGCCGAAACAGCCGGUCCCGGAGCUCAUCCACUAACAUGGCAUCCUGACGGUUCAGCUUGGCAGGGGUGGCCAUGAGGCCCCGGAGGAUGGGGUCGAUGCCCCCUGGUGGCAGGGAAUGUGAGCAGCACAGAUUGGACCAGCCUCUGGGAAGCUACUUGGGUUAUCACAUGAUGCCAAGCUAGCCCAGAGCUGGACAAGCCAGUCGGGUAUGUUAGUAACGUUUGUCAGGAAACAGAGUUCUGGAGAGACAUGAAGCAGCUGGAGCUGGGAGGUACUUCUUAAGGAAUGGAAGGUACUGUUCAGGAGCUGGGAGGAUUUAAAAAUGAAUAAUGCAUGGCGCCUGCCCUCAAGAAGCUCUCAUUCCAGUUAAAGAGAAAAGCAGAAACACACAUGAAGUAGUAGCCUUGGAAAUGAAUUCACUACCCUAGAUUUGGAACACUGAUGGUUUCCUCAAAUAUCUAAAGAUCCCUGGAUAAACAUUCAUGUGUAAGAUGCUGUGAGGAUUGAAAAAAGCAAGGAUGGUUACUCUCAUUACUCCUAUUCAACAACAUACUGGAAUUCUCAGCCAGUUAAUUAAGGAUUUUUGAAAGAUGCUGGACACAAGUCACCAAUGUUCUUGUGCUAGAAGAAGAAUUCGUGUCCUAAAGAGCAAUGGUGGUGUUUCAGGACCAUGGACAGUAGCACAUGGCUACAGACACCUAAAAAAGCUCCCAACGCUCACCUCACCCUGCAAGUUCCUCCAGAAGGGCCCGUCAAGGCUGGCAGUGGACACCUUGCAGGUUAAAUCCAUGGUCUUCCUCCAAGUCGGGCUUAGAAAACUCCUCCCCACAAAAUAUCACAUAGUAGGCACUGAAUAAAUUUUUGUUCAAUUAAUUAACAAAUUUAUUACAGCAAAGGGUUGCACUUAUGUGCUCAAUUCACCCAACAAAUAUUUAUUUAAGCCCCUAUUGUGUGACAUGCAUGAACCUUUCAGACAGGAUGUUUUGUGACUGAGGUCCCUGUUUCAUGGUGUGUAGCUGGUGUCUUAUGAGUAUGACAGUAGGCGCUACAUAGGGCUGCUUCCUGCCUGCAUCUCUGGUAGAAAGUAAAGUCUAAUACAAUUUUUCCUGUUUUCUUCUGUUAAAAUUCUGGACCACUUGUUUGUCCAUCAACACUUCUUCUUCUCUUCUGAUUUCUGUCACUCUCCCUAGAGUCUAAGACAUCAGAGAAUGCAAAUAAGGUCUUUCUCCCUCGUCUUCAUUCCCAGCCCUACAGCACCAUCUCAGAUUUUGUACUGUGCAACCAAAUCUUUCCCCACUCCUACUCCCAUUUCCAUCACUCUCCCUAGAGCCUAAGACAUCAGAGAAUGCAAAUAAGGUCUUUCUUCCCCUGUCUUCAUUCCCAGCCCUACGGCACCUAACGUUUCAGAUUUUGUACUGUGCAACCAAAUCUUUUCCCACUCCUACUCCCACUCCCAUCCCUAUUCCUUAAACAAGUACAAAUGUCUUAAAGGAAAAACACCUGCUUUUUGUCAUUGUCUCUUCUGAAGUACCUAGCAUAGAGCCUGGCUUGUAGUUGUGUGUCAGUAAAUAAAUGACUCAAUCAAUAAGAAUAAAAGCCCCAUGAGGAUGGGGACUUUUGACUGUUUUAUAAUAUGUUAGACAUUCGAUAAAUAUAUGUUCAAUUAACUGAUUAAUAAAUUAACAUAUUUAUCUGUGAUA
rnacentral:lncRNA from 10 species